CGGGAAGCUGCUGUAAGAGCGAAACGUUGCCCCACUUGGCGGUGUCCAGGGUCAGAAGUCAGUGGUGGCUAUACUCGGAAUA
ensembl:lncRNA novel transcript